rnacentral:rRNA from 1 species
UACAGAGGUCUCGAGCGUUGUUCGGAUUCAUUGGGCGUAAAGGGCGCGUAGGCGGCGGGGUAAGUCUGGUGUGAAAUCUAGGAGCUCAACUCCUAAACUGCACUGGAUACUGCUCUGCUAGAGGACUGGAGAGGAGACUGGAAUUCACGGUGUAGCAGUGAAAUGCGUAGAUAUCAGGAGGAAUACCGAUGGCGAAGGCAGGUCUCUGGGCUGACACUGACGCUCAUGCACGAAAGCGUGGGGAGCAAACAGG